rnacentral:rRNA from 1 species
GAGGUUUGGCACCUCGAUGUCGGCUCAUCGCAUCCUGGGGCUGAAGCAGGUCCCAAGGGUUGGGCUGUUCGCCCAUUAAAGCGGUACGCGAGCUGGGUUUAGAACGUCGUGAGACAGUUCGGUCCCUAUCUGCUGCGGGCGUAGGAGAUUUGCGGGGAUCUGUCCCUAGUACGAGAGGACCGGGAUGGACGAACCUCUAGUGUGCCAGUUGUUCUGCCAAGGGCAUCGCUGGGUAGCUAUGUUCGGAAGGGAUAAACGCUGAAAGCAUCUAAGUGCGAAGCCCACCCCAAGAUGAGAUCUCCCGGGCGCAAGCCCCUAAAGACCCCUUGUAGAUCACAAGGUUGAUAGGCCAGAUGUGUAAGCGCAGGAAUGCGUUCAGCUUACUGGUACUAAUCGGUCGUGCGGCUUGACCCC